GGAGGAAGGUGGGGAUGACGUCAAGUCCGCAUGGCCCUUAUGGGCUGGGCCACACACGUGCUACAAUGGCAAUGAGAAUGGGAAGCAAGGCUGUAAGGCGGAGCGAAUCCGGAAAGAUUGCCUCAGUUCGGAUUGUUCUCUGCAACUCGGGAACAUGAAGUUGAAAUCGCUAGUAAUCGCGGAUCAGCAUGCCGCGGUGAAUAUGUACCCGGGCCCUGUACACACCGCCC
rnacentral:ncRNA from 1 species